GACUAUUUGAAUGUUUUCAUUACUCAGUUCAGAAAUGCAAGCUAAUGAUUUGGUCUUCCUAAUUGAUAGAUGCCAGAUCAAUCCUGAUGACAAAUAGCAGGAGAAGAGGAUAUGGACUAGACAGAGCCAGAGGGGAAAUUUCAACCAGAUGCACCCAAGGGGAAGGAAUUGGACUAAGCCUAUCCAGAGAAGAGACAGAGCAGACCUAACAAACAGGACUAGAGGAGAGAUGCAGUGCUGAAAUUCACACCUGCCAGACAGCCGCUAUUGGAGACGGAGAGGAGAACAGGAAACUAUAUGUUUGGUGGAAAUCUCAC